UGGGGAAUUUUGGACAAUGGGCGAAAGCCUGAUCCAGCAAUGCCGCGUGUGUGAAGAAGGCCUUCGGGUUGUAAAGCACUUUUGUCCGGAAAGAAAUCCUUGGCUCUAAUACAGUCGGGGGAUGACGGUACCGGAAGAAUAAGCACCGGCUAACUACGUGCCAGCAGCCGCGUAAUACGUAGGGUGCAAGCGUUAAUCGGAAUUACUGGGCGUAAAGCGUGCGCAGGCGGUUUGCUAAGACCGAUGUGAAAUCCCCGGGCUCAACCUGGGAACUGCAUUGGUGACUGGCAGGCUAGAGUAUGGCAGAGGGGGGUAGAAUUCCACGUGUAGCAGUGAAAUGCGUAGAGAUGUGGAGGAAUACCGAUGGCGAAGGCAGCCCCCUGGGCCAAUACUGACGCUCAUGCACGAAAGCGUGGGGAGCAAACAGGAUUAGAUACCCUGGUAGUCCACGCCCUAAACGAUGUCAACUAGUUGUUGGGGAUUCAUUUCCUUAGUAACGUAGCUAACGCGUGAAGUUGACCGCCUGGGGAGUACGGUCGCAAGAUU
rnacentral:rRNA from 1 species